GACGAACGCUGGCGGCGUGCCUAAUACAUGCAAGUCGAACGCUUCUUUCCUCCCGAGUGCUUGCACUCGAUUGGAAAGAGGAGUGGCGGACGGGUGAGUAACACGUGGGUAACCUACCCAUCAGAGGGGGAUAACACUUGGAAACAGGUGCUAAUACCGCAUAAAAGUUUAUGCCGCAUGGCAUAAGAGUGAAAGGCGCUUUCGGGUGUCGCUGAUGGAUGGACCCGCGGUGCAUUAGCUAGUUGGUGAGGUAACGGCUCACCAAGGCCACGAUGCAUAGCCGACCUGAGAGGGUGAUCGGCCACACUGGGACUGAGACACGGCCCAGACUCCUACGGGAGGCAGCAGUAGGGAAUCUUCGGCAAUGGACGAAAGUCUGACCGAGCAACGCCGCGUGAGUGAAGAAGGUUUUCGGAUCGUAAGACUCUGUUGUUAGAGAAGAACAAGGACGUUAGUAACUGGACGUCCCCUGACGGUAUCUAACCAGAAAGCCACGGCUAACUACGUGCCAGCAGCCGCCGUAA
rnacentral:rRNA from 1 species